UCCAUUUCUCUCGCUCUGGCGAUGGCGACGGCGACGGACCGACUUCUGCGGAGACGGCGCGGCGAGGCGGGGCAGGUGCUGCAGAGGAUGGAGGACGCCGGAGCAGAGCACGACAGCUCCCGCCUUCGCUGCUGUCCGCGCGCGCCCGCGUGCUCGCCUCCGUCCGCGCCGGAGAGCUGCUGUCCGCGCGCGCCUCGCCUCCGUCCGCGCCGGAGCGCUGCUGUCCGCGCGCGGCUCACCUCCGCCCGCGUCCUGCCGCGUCCCAACCGCGCCGGGAGACCGCCUCUGCCUGCCGCGCGCGCUGUACGCGUCCGAGUCUCUGACGUCCAACCGCGCCGGGAGACCGCCUCUGCCUGCCGCGCGCGCUACAAUGAAACCAUCCCGGCCCGAAUUGGAGUUCGAUGCUAUAAAUUGAAUUGUUAUUGGCCGGAAUCGUGAACCAGGCCAGCGCCACCAGCGAGCAAUGCACCGUCGCUUGGGGUCAAAGCUGUUUUGUUGGCUGCUGGCUUCUUGUGCUGUUAUAGUUCGCUACAGACAGGUACAUAAGUUCCCUACAGCUACAAGUAUGGUACCAUAAUGUGUCAUCUAUUCGAUUUUGAGGUUUGGUAUUGAUUCAUUGAUCCCCUUUCCUAGGAUUCAUUAUUGGAAAUUGAUCUUGGGCUAUGGAACUAAGAUGAUCUACUCAAAAAGUUUUCUUACCACUAUAUCUUUUUUAUGUGCUAAAUCACUGAUUAAUUACUACACUUAGCAAGAAUUUCCUUUACAAACAAAGCUAGCGUUCGAGGGUGUGGAGGAGGUGAAACACAUGGGGUCACCAUCAGCCUUUCCCUCUAGAUCUGGUGCGUGUAAUUUAACCUGGAUAUUCAGAGACGUAUUGAAAGGAAAACAAUUUGGACCUUAGUUGUAUAUUUGAUGAAGCUAUCUAAUUUGGACUUGAAAUUACACUGUAAAAUUUCCUUUCAACUGCUAACUCAAUUUACAAUUUUCUGAACUUUACUUCUGCCACCAUAUGCUCCCAGUCAUCCCCGCCACAUGUACGUCGCUGGUUCAUCCUGAUGCUUGUCAUCCUCAUUGCGACUGCCGUAGUUUGGCACCAGGCUACCUACCGGCGACGUUGCCCCGCAUCCCGUUGCCAGCUACUGCUCCUUACGGGUCCGCGAGUACCUGCAUGAUUGGAUGCCUUACGGGCACGCACGCUCCUUCCUGAUCUGAUUUGUUCUCAUGGGAAAUCACUUCCUGCCAAUUCCUCAAAGUUCACAAACAGUUUUUAUUUCAUGGAUUUAUUUUUGGCAUUGACUGCUGCACAUUUAGAUAGAUGCAUAUAAUUUGCAUGUCAUGAAGGGAAAAAGACAUCACUGAGCCGUUUGUUUCUAAUUGCGAGGUUAAAUAAUUUUGUGUGUUCUAACUCUAUGGGAUAAUCUGAAGUUAUUUGGCUCAUCGUUGUGCCACAAGUUUCUAACAUCACCGUGCCUGUACACCAUCGACUUCACUGGAAAUAUGUCUGCACGUACUUCAUCGUCCGCCGGAACUUUGUCUGACCUGAGAACUGGAACUUUUUUGGAUUUUGUAAGGCUGCGGAUAACAAGCCGGUGAGAGCUUAUGGUUCAGUUAGAACCUACCUCUUUCUCUAUCCUAAUGUGAUUUAUAAUGUUUUAUUCUGGUGAGCAUAUGAGGCUGCAGUACUAGGUUUAUGCUCAGAAGUUAAAUUGCUUGCUGAUUAAUUUGCGUCAUAUUAUUCACAUCAAACAGCAGCAGUUUUCUUAUCCAAGUUCAUUUGAUUUUGUAGGCAGGGGGAUUCAAUACCAAGAUUUAUGAUUUGGCAUAAGUGAGAUGACAUAUAGUCAAUGUUUUGAAACUGAUGUAUCUGUGACAAAAAUAUUGAAGUUAUGGACAUGUUGAUAAUUGGUUAUCAAGCAAAGGCAUUUCCUACAUAUUGAGGGGUAUGCGUGAUAUCUUUUCUAAGGCCAUGAAAUAUUUUCAGGAAGCUUUAGAAUGCUGGUGGCUGAUGGGGAUUAUAAGAACUUAAAUGCCAGAGAAGUCGUAUUGUAUCAGGACUUAAGCUAAUCGUCCAGAAACCUAAUUCAGGGCAUCGUCCAGACACCCUACAGGGGUGAUGUUGGGUGUCUGGACGAUGCCCUGAGGACCUUCUGACCGAGCUUGGCAUCCUGUAGGCAUCACUCUCCCCGAGGCUACCACACCUUGCUGGCGUGCGGUCCAUCAUGGUGGCAGUGGAUGGGCUCUGGGCGGUCAUCAUGGCGGAGAUGAGGCGGAUCUUACGCAAUAUUGUACGUGUUGUCACGGGGUUGUACGUGAUGCGAUCCCGUUGCAACGCACGGGCACUUUUGCUAUAUAUUCUAAAUCACCGUUGUGG
rnacentral:rRNA from 1 species